UGGGGAAUUUUGCACAAUGGGGAAAACCCUGAUGCAGCGACGCCGCGUGAUUUAGAAGGCCUUCGGGUUGUAAAAAUCUUUUCUAUGGGAAGAAAAUGACAGUACCAUAGGAAUAAGGACCGGCUAAUUACGUGCCAGCAGCCGCGGUAAUACGUAAGGUCCGAGCGUUGUCCGGAAUCAUUGGGCGUAAAGGGUACGUAGGCGGGUAAGCAAGUUAGAAGUGAAAUCCUAUAGCUCAACUAUAGUAAGCUUUUAAAACUGCUCAUCUUGAGGUAUGGAAGGGAAAGUGGAAUUCCUAGUGUAGCGGUGAAAUGCGCAGAUAUUAGGAGGAAUACCGGUGGCGAAGGCGACUUUCUGGCCAUAACCUGACGCUGAGGUACGAAAGCGUGGGUAGCAAACAGG
rnacentral:rRNA from 1 species